rnacentral:lncRNA from 1 species
GCAUAUGGAAGUUCCCAGGCUAGGGGUCGAAUUGGAGCUGUAGCUGCCAGCCUACAGCACAGCCACAACACCUGGGGAUCUGAGCCAUGGUGUCUGUGACCUACAUCACAGCUCACAGCUACACCAGAUCCUUAACCCACUGAGCAAGGACAGGGAUCGAACUGCAUCCUCAUGGACUAGGUUAAACUUUGUUUCAUAAAAUUUUGAACAAAAGCAUUUGUGAUAUUUCUAAUGGAAGAAAAAAAUCUUUCUAAAAGUUGUAUUUUUCUAAUUCUUCAAAGAGAUGCACACACAAUUCUAUGACCCAUGCAUAGAACCCAUUCUCACUUCGCUAGUAAAUCUAACUUCUGUAACAUUAAAAAAAAGAAAAGAAAAGAAAAAGAAAGUUGCCAUCAAACUUCAACUACCUUAACAAGACCAGCCUUAAGAACAGAAGUAUGAGGGGAAAAAAAACCAAAAACAAAAGAAUUUUUAAGAAUUUUCUCUGUGGGAAGCAGUGCCUGCCUGAAUAGCCAACAAACCAAAUACACAUACAAAGAGACUAGUCAAGAAUCAAUCACUUAGGUAGUCAUGCAGAUCCUUACAGUCAUGAGGAAAAACAUACAAAUGAGGAAUAUGCAAAAUUUCAAUUUGAUAUUUCCUUUGAUCAUUGGAGAAGUUAAUGUUUCCCAACCAUUUAAGGAAAAGUCAGUGGUCUUCUGAGGCAAACAGCUACUGGGAAAAACCCCACCAAAAUAUGUAAUAGGAGACAGAAUACCAGCAAAGGCUUUACACUGUCCCCAAACAGCAACCAGGUUAAUAUCUCAAGCAGCUGUCCUGAUCUCUGUGGUCUAAGCUUUUAACUAACUUUAAUUAAAUGGAACCUUUGGUGUGCAAGGGUACAUAUGCCUGGGAUAUGAAUAAAAGAAACAAACAGCAGAGCCUGGCAUAUGGUUGCAUAUACAUGCAUCAUUUGAUUUUUGAUUUUUUGCAAGGAUAUUUUAACAUUCAUGAGAGGUAAAAAAGAUGAGAGCAGAAAUAAACUUCAUUUUUUGCCUACUAUUCCUACCAUCACAGCUAGUAUUAAAAAACACUAUAAGUCUUAAUUGUCAGAUGCACAAUCUGCAAUGUUUAAAUGGACCCUGUGGAUUUUGGUCCAAAACCAAACCAAUUGGUUGCAAGCUAUUUUUCUCUUCUGUUAGAUGUUCUGCUGCAAUAUUUGCAUAAAUGUAACCGUGCUGUCCGUCUUUUAACUUUUACUCAAUUAAUUAUGCUUCCAGCCCCCUGCUGAUGGACAAAAAUGAGACUUCAUCUGCAAAUAGCUUCUGCAGUUUACAGCUUAUUAAAUGCCAAAAUCUAGUUAAGACAGUUUGAGAAUUCUCAUGUCAGGCAUUUCAACAUGCCAUUUUUAACACAAAAUUCUUAUUAAAAAAAUGAACCCACUACUCCAAGUCAGGGGGAAAAAAAUCACUGGUAUAAAGGUAAUGAACAGAUUAGAAUUUUAUACAAAUUGUGUACUUAGCAUAUGUGGCUUACUCUGAGCACACUUAAUUGGUUUGCCUAAUAAUGAAUCCACUAUGAGAAAGACUACCAAGUUGACAAGAAAAUGGUCUCUACAAAUUACAAACAGCUUUCAUCUAUGGAACCACUUUUAUAAUUUAUAUAAAAGUCUGUGUAUAGUCUGAAAAAAAACACAGAUGAAUGGGAGCUAUAUACUCAAAUAUUCUUUUAAAAAUGACUUUUACUUUGUAUGACAGGUUUUACAUAUUGCAUCAAACAUCUGGUGCAUUCACAAUCUAGAAUUCUUUAUACCAUUUGGGGUUAGAUCUUCAUCUAAUCCAGAAAGAGAAAGAAGAAUAAUAUAUUCAGUGAAGCUAAAUGAAUAGGUAUAACGCAUAACAUUUUGCCUACUACUAUGAAAAGACAACUCAUUCUUUCCAUAAUUCUAUGUGACAAUUUGACCUCCCUGCAGCCCCAUGAGCACACCUAUAAAAUUAAAUAAAAUCAAAAUUUUCUUGAGAAAAUUUUUUUUCAUAAGGUAUGUGGCAUAAAAUACUUGUUUCUAUACACAGCUAUAUUAGAAUGAUAUUUUUAUUAAUAUGAUACAUAUAAUUAUUAUUUUUUAGUUUGGGGAUUGGGGAACAGCAUUCUAUUUAUUCCACUUGAAGGAAUUAAAAUACUUAACGAGUAUGUUUGCACUUAAUUCAGCAUUAAGAAUAUUUUAGUUAUUGCCACAGAAAAGUCAGAUUAGGUUCUUAUGGCAAUUGGCCAUUAGUCUCCAAUCUGAAGUUCUUGAUUUCCUUUCUCAAUCUUAUGGCAUAUCAUGUGGUACUUCACUGUAUUAGAUUUUAUUGACAAAUUGUGUCAUGUUUAUGUUCUUUUCUUAUAAACUACUAUGAUAGAGCUGAACGUGACAUGAUGAUUUAUGACAGAAAUGUCAGAGAUUAUUUUAAAAGCAAUUUCUGUCUGAUCAUAUACCAAUUAACAGCUUUCAUAACAAAUUUCCAAAUAUGUAGUUGGCAUUUGAUCAAAGGAACAUAUUUCAUUGCUGGUAUUUGAAUAUUUGGGACAUAUUAAGGAAAUGCACAUUUCCACUCCAUGGCUAUGAUUGUGGAAGCAUGCAAUGGCUACCAGUAUUGCUCUGACACAAAGCAAUAUUAUAUACCACUUCAGUUACAUGUAAUAACUCCCUUUCUAGCACUUCUGAUAAAAGAGAGGGAAAUACCAAAAAAAGUAAGGUACUUUCUCUUCAGUUUUAAUGAAUCCCAAAUGAUUUCUUACAUAUACUAUUAGCAAUGAGAAAGGUAGAAUUCUAGAACUAGUAGGAACUGAGAUAAUUUUGCUAACCCAGAAAAAAUAAAAAUUUAAAGUGGAGGGAGUUUCCACCAUGGUCUUGUGGGAUUAAGAAUCUGACUGCAGUAGUUCGGGUGGCUGUGGAGGCACAGGUUCAAUCCCCAGAUGGGUAAAGUGAGUUAAAAGAUCGAGCAUUACUACAGGUAUGGCCUGAGGCUUGGAUUCAAUCCCUGGCCCAGGAACUUCCCUGUGCCAUAUGUAAGACCAUAAAAGAAAAAAAAAAAAAGUAGGUGGAGACAUAAAACUUUCUGCAGAUACAUAAAUUGUGUUGUAUAUAUGAUCAAGCAGUUUUAUAAUUCUAGAAUAUCUUGUUUUUGUUUUGUUUUUCUAUAGGUAUUUUGUAGGAAAGGGGAUAUGGAAGAAACUUUGCUUAAUUCACUUUUCCAUUUUAUUGUUUUGUUUUGUUUUGUUUUGCUAAAAAUGUAAGAAUUUGUUCUUGGUCCUCAGAAAGACUUGAAGACUUUAUGAGAAAUAGCUGUGUGUGUGGUGGUAAGUUAUGUUCUUGAGAUGUUUUGUCAGUGUCUACCUAUUGGAAUACAAUAGAAUGUAGAACAAUUGUCAUUGAUCCAUAAGGCAGAUAAUUUGUCCAUUUUAUCUGUUAUAGUUAAAUUCUGAAAAAGUGUCCUGCAAGAGGGUAACAGAUGCCCCAGAUACAUAACUCUAGUAUCACACAUAUAGAAUGUACUAUGGAGGAAAAAAAUACUCACAUGCAGAGAAGAAGCAUGAAACAUAUGGUCCUGAGAAAUUCCAUUAUUCUUGGCACAAGGCAGGCAUAAAUAUCCUACUUAUGUUAUGGUCAAGGUUCUGGCAGAGGAGGCCUGCCUUAACCAGCAGGAUGGAGAUGACAUGUGGUGGAGGGAGCGACACUCCAAGAAGGAACCGGUCUCUCUCUCAGCCCUUACACAUUUAUAGGUUGGCCAAGGAGGUUAGAGGACACUUGACUAAAAGAAAUCUAUCAUCUAGGGGUCUUCAUACUCAGAAAUAACUCUAAGGAUCUUAUACACUCAGGGUGUAUACUUAGCUUGCCUUCCAGGAAUGAUGAAACUAGUCUCAGGCUCUGUCUCUCUACAGGACUGGCCUUCCUCAACCAAGACAGCUCUCUACUUAGAAACCAAAGAGGGGCAGGAAAUAGGCUCCAAUGGCCAUCCAGAUUGGCUUCUAAUCAAACAAAAACUUAGUCUCAAUUUUUUAAUGAGCUUUAAAAGUUCUUUUAGCUCCUCCUACCUGUGCAGGAACUUCACAAAAUGAAUUACAAUUAUGGUUAAAAAAGUUAUACUUUGUUCUCUUACACUCUUCCAGUUUCUUGCUUUUCUUUUUGUUUUCCCUUUAUAGCGAAACUACUCUGAAGAGUUGGUUAUACCUACUAUAUCUUUCUAAACAAACUAGUUAUUAUUAUAUCACUCCAAUGAAUCAGUUCUAACUAAGACCAGUGAUUACUUCCAUAACUCUGAAUCCAAUGUGUAUUAUUUAGGCUUCUACUAUUUUUUGUAAAAUAGUCUUUUCUUGGUUACUUUGACACACACACUCUCCAAGUCUUCCUAAUUCUUCAUAGCCACUACAUUGGACAUUUCUUUGAAAAUCCAUUGUCUGUUUCUUGACUAAUAAAUAGUGGAGAUUUGCAAGGCUUGAUUCUAUUCCAUUUUUUUUUAUCUUCUAGAUAAUCUAGGCAAUUUCAUCAAUGCUCAUUGUUUCAUGACUUUUAAAUCCAUAGAUUCAUUCCACGGAACUCUUCUGAGCUCCAGAAAUGGGUAUCUUCCUGCUACUAGGAUUUCUCA